rnacentral:rRNA from 1 species
GUGGGGAAUCUUGGACAAUGGGCGCAAGCCUGAUCCAGCCAUGCCGCGUGAAUGAUGAAGGCCUUAGGGUUGUAAAAUUCUUUCGUCGGGGACGAUAAUGACGGUACCCGAAGAAGAAGCCCCGGCUAACUUCGUGCCAGCAGCCGCGGUAAUACGAAGGGGGCUAGCGUUGUUCGGAAUUACUGGGCGUAAAGCGCAUGUAGGCGGGCCGUUAAGUCGGGGGUGAAAGCCCAGAGCUCAACUCUGGAAUUGCCUUCGAUACUGGCGGCCUGGAGCAAGAUAGAGGCGAGUGGAAUUGCGAGUGUAGAGGUGAAAUUCGUAGAUAUUCGCAGGAACACCAGUGGCGAAGGCGACUCGCUGGAUCUUUGCUGACGCUGAGAUGCGAAAGCGUGGGGAGCAAACAGGAUUAGAAACCCUGGUAGUCC